CCCAGGUCAGGCGGGGCUACCCGCUGAAUU
rnacentral:rRNA from 1 species